rnacentral:lncRNA from 1 species
AUGACACUUCCAUCAGCUGCCAGAGUGACCCGGGAAGCAGUUUGCAUGCUGACCCACAGCUUGGGGCUCACAGGGAUGGCUCCGCACUACAGCAGCACCAGGGCAGAAUGGAGCUCGCUCUAUUGCUCAGGACUCCCCUUCCUCUGUUCCUGGGCACCAGAGCUGCCCGCAGCUCCUUCCAACACAGCCUCCGCCUGUUUCCUCUGGGUGCUUUCUCCAAGGCCCGGCUCCAGCCGUUCCCCUUCAAUCUGCUCUCCUGCUGGCACCGUGGCCCCUUGGGCUGCCCCUGAUACAGGCACUGCAGGCUGCUGCCCCCAGCCCCCCAAGCAGCCCUUGCCCUGGGGCCCCGCUGCUGCCUCGUUCCCCUGUUCUGCCUCCAGGGCCUCGCACCCCAUCACCCCCUGGCUUAGAGGCCUCCCCUCUCCCAGCACUGCCUGCUCCCCAUCUGUACCACACUGUAGCAGUCCCUGUCCCACAGCCACCCCCUCUCGUGGCUCUGCUGCUCCCCCCAUCACCUCUCCACCUCCUGACUCAGCUCUGGCUCUCUCUCCAGACACCCCCAUCACCACGCCAUCAGGUUCUUCUUCCAUUGCUCCAUCCUUCUCCGCAGCACUGCCCAAAGAUAGAUUUCCACUUAAAACCACUAUUGCUGAGCCCUCCUCAUCCCGUUCUCUUACUGUCUGCUCCAAUGGAGAUGACUCUCCACUGCCAGGGUCCCUUACAGCACCCACCCUGGCCUCUUGCCCAGGUGCUUUGUGUAACACAGGGCUCCUGUCUGAGUCCUCAGGCUCUUCCACAUCCUCUGCCCUUGGCCGAGAGCUGCCUUCCCCCUCUGGGGGUCUGUCAGGCUCAGAUGUUGCUGUCCCAAGGGCAUCCAUCUCUGCCCGCUCUUCCCUUGAGAAUUCCAGCUGGGAAAACUCAUUUGGCUUUAGGAUCUCUUCCUUUCCUGUGCAAAAUUCUGUACCCCCUAACGUUCCCAGGAGAGCCCCAGGCUCCUCCACAGCCUUCUGCCCUUCAAAAGCAGCUUUUUCUACAGCCCACACUGCUGCAGAGCCACCCACCUUGGCAAUCCCUUCUGCCAGGUCCACAUCUCCUACAGCCCCCAGCACAGGCGCUGCUGCUCCCACCACCCUCUCUCCUCCAGUGACCUCCUCAGCUCCUCCCACACCCCGUGGUGCCCCCAUGCCCACCUGCUCCUCUCCCUCACCUGCUGGGUCCCUCCCUGGCCCGGUGUUCUCCACCACGCCCGUGGGAGCAUCCUCGUUCCCAGCCUCUGCACCAGGCUCUGUCCCCUUCCCUGGUUCCUUCUCCUCAUCAUUGCCUUCUGCCAUUGCCCCCCUAGCAGGUGCUGAGCCAUCCCCAAGCAGAUGUCCUGCAUGCACUACAGCUGCUGCCUCUCCCUCAGGCUGUGGCUCUCCUGCCUGUGCCACUCCAUGCCCAGUGCAGUCAGUGCCUGCGUGCCCUUGCUCAGCAGUGUGCCCCUCGUCCUCCCCCCCACCGUCCUGCCCCACAUGUGCCACUUCCUCUGCUGCUGCCUGCAUGCCAGGUGCUCCUGUUCCAUCUGCCAGGACAGCUCCAGUGGCUGCUGCUGAGAGACAAAAUGUUCAUUUCAUGGCGAGCUGUUAG